UACGAAGGGGGCUAGCGUUGCUCGGAAUCACUGGGCGUAAAGCGCACGUAGGCGGAUUGUUAAGUCAGGGGUGAAAUCCUGGAGCUCAACUCCAGAACUGCCUUUGAUACUGGCGAUCUCGAGUCCGGGAGAGGUGAGUGGAACUGCGAGUGUAGAGGUGAAAUUCGUAGAUAUUCGGAAGAACACCAGUGGCGAAGGCGACUUACUGGACACAUAUUGACGCUGAGGUGACGAAAGCGUGGGGAGCAAACAGG
rnacentral:rRNA from 1 species